AUGAACGCUAGCGGCAGGCCUAACACAUGCAAGUCGAGGGGCAGCACGGUGUAGCAAUACACUGGUGGCGACCGGCGCACGGGUGCGUAACGCGUAUGCAACCUACCCAUAACAGGGGGAUAACACUGAGAAAUUGGUACUAAUACCCCAUAACAUCAGGACCGGCAUCGGUUCUGGUUGAAAACUCCGGUGGUUAUGGAUGGGCAUGCGUUGUAUUAGCUGGUUGGUGAGGUAACGGCUCACCAAGGCAACGAUACAUAGGGGGACUGAGAGGUUAACCCCCCACAUUGGUACUGAGACACGGACCAAACUCCUACGGGAGGCAGCAGUGAGGAAUAUUGGUCAAUGGACGCAAGUCUGAACCAGCCAUGCCGCGUGCAGGAAGACGGCUCUAUGAGUUGUAAACUGCUUUUGUACGAGAGUAAACGCUCUUACGUGUAAGAGCCUGAAAGUAUCGUACGAAUAAGGAUCGGCUAACUCCGUGCCAGCAGCCGCGGUAAUACGGAGGAUCCAAGCGUUAUCCGGAUUUAUUGGGUUUAAAGGGUGCGUAGGCGGUUUGAUAAGUUAGAGGUGAAAUACCGGUGCUUAACACCGGAACUGCCUCUAAUACUGUUGAACUAGAGAGUAGUUGCGGUAGGCGGAAUGUAUGGUGUAGCGGUGAAAUGCUUAGAGAUCAUACAGAACACCGAUUGCGAAGGCAGCUUACCAAACUAUAUCUGACGUUGAGGCACGAAAGCGUGGGGAGCAAACAGGAUUAGAUACCCUGGUAGUCCACGCAGUAAACGAUGAUAACUCGCUGUCGGCGAUACACAGUCGGCGGCUAAGCGAAAGCGAUAAGUUAUCCACCUGGGGAGUACGUUCGCAAGAAUGAAACUCAAAGGAAUUGACGGGGGCCCGCACAAGCAGUGGAGUAUGUGGUUUAAUUCGAAGCAACGCGAAGAACCUUACCAGGUCUUGACAUCGAUCUAAAAGGGAUGGAGACAUCCUCAUAGCUAUAGAGAAGACAGGUGGUGCAUGGUUGUCGUCAGCUCGUGUCGUGAGAUGUUGGGUUAAGUCCCGCAACGAGCGCAACCCCUGUCGCCAGUUACCAUCAUUAAGUUGGGGACUCUGGCGAGACUGCCUCUGCAAGGAGGAGGAAGGCGGGGAUGACGUCAAAUCAUCAUGCCCCUUAUGAGCAGGGCUACACACGUGCUACAAUGGCGUAAACAAAGGGAAGCGAACCCGCGAGGGUGGGCAAAUCCCAAAAAUAACGUCCCAGUUCGGAUUGUAGUCUGCAACUCGACUACAUGAAGCUGGAAUCGCUAGUAAUCGCAGAUCAGAAUGCUGCGGUGAAUACGUUCCCGGGUCUUGUACACACCGCCCGUCACAUCAUGGAAGCCGGUCGCACCCGAAGUAUCUGAAGCCAACCGCAAGGAGGCAGGGUCCUAAGGUGGGGCUGAUGAUUGGGGUG
rnacentral:rRNA from 1 species